UACGUAGGGACCGAGCGUUGUCCGGAAUCAUUGGGCGUAAAGAGCGUGUAGGCGGCCUUUUAAGUCCUGCGUGAAAUCCUGCGGCUCAACCGCAGACGGUCGUGGGAAACUGGAAGGCUAGAGUGCGGGAGAGGAGAGUGGAAUUCCCGGUGUAGCGGUGAAAUGCGCAGAUAUCGGGAGGAACACCAGUAGCGAAGGCGGCACUCUGGGCCGGUACUGACGCUGAGGAGCGAAAGCGUGGGGAGCAAACAGG
rnacentral:rRNA from 1 species